GUUCCUACGGGAGGCAGCAUCCUAGGAAUAUUGGUCAAUGGGGGAUAUCCUGAACCAGCCAAGUCGUCGUGAUCCAACAAGGAUCUAUGGUUCGUAAACGUCUUCGGCAGGGGAAUAAAUUUCAGGACGUGUCAAGUUUAGUACGGACCCAACGAAAGAAGAUAGGGUAAAACCGGGCCCGCCGGCGCGGUUAUACGGUGGGUCGCAAGGUUUUUCGGGUUUUUUGGGUUUAAAAGGGGGGUUGGGGGUUUGAUUAAUUAGGGGGGAAAAAUGCGAGGUUAACCGUAAAAAUGCCGUUGAAACUGUCGGACUAGAGUAUAGGAGAAGAGGCGGAACUCCAAGUGAGCGGGAAAAGCAGAAGUAUCACGCAGAACUCCGAU
rnacentral:rRNA from 1 species